rnacentral:rRNA from 1 species
AUUGAACGCUGGCGGCAGGCUUAACACAUGCAAGUCGAGCGGAGCGAGGGUGCUUGCACCUUAGCUUAGCGGCGGACGGGUGAGUAAUGCUUAGGAAUCUGCCUAUUAGUGGGGGACAACAUUCCGAAAGGAAUGCUAAUACCGCAUACGCCCUACGGGGGAAAGCAGGGGAUCUUCGGACCUUGCGCUAAUAGAUGAGCCUAAGUCGGAUUAGCUAGUUGGUGGGGUAAAGGCCUACCAAGGCGACGAUCUGUAGCGGGUCUGAGAGGAUGAUCCGCCACCCUGGGACUGAGCCACGGCCCAGACUCCUACGGGAGGCAGCAGUGGGGAAUAUUGGAAAAUGGGCGGAAGCCUGAGCCAGCCAUGCCGCGUGUGUGAAGAAGGCCUUUUGGUUGUAAAGCACUUUAAGCGAGGAGGAGGCUACUUAGAUUAAUACUCUGGGAUAGUGGACGUUACUCGCAGAAUAAGCACCGGCUAACUCUGUGCCAGCAGCCGCGGUAACAC